CCUACGGGAGGCAGCAGUGAGGGAUAUUGGUCAAUGGACGAGAGUCUGAACCAGCCAAGCCGCGUGAAGGAUGACUGCCCUAUGGGCUGUAAACUUCUUUUAUAUGGGAAUAAAAUGUUCCACGUGUGGGAUUUUGUAUGUACCAUAUGAAUAAGGAUCGGCUAACUCCGUGCCAGCAGCCGCGGUAAUACGGAGGUUCCGAGCGUUAUCCGGAUUUAUUGGGGUUAAAGGGAGCGUAGGUGGAUUGUUAAGUCAGUUGGGAAAGUUUGCGGCUCAACCGUAAAAUUGCAGUUGAAACUGGGAGUCUUGAGUACAGUAGAGGUGGGCGGAAUUCGUGGUGUAGCGGUGAAAUGCUUAGAUAUCACGAAGAACUCCGAUUGCGAAGGCAGCUCACUGGACUGCAACUGACGCUGAGGCUCGAAAGUGUGGGUAUCAAACAGGAUUAGAUACCCUAGUAGUC
rnacentral:rRNA from 1 species